rnacentral:lncRNA from 1 species
GGGACAGCGGCCUUAGAGCUGAAGCCGGAUUGGCGCCCGCGUGCCAAGUACCCUUGUGACUGUGCUUAUCCACAGCCAAGACUAGGGGUGAUCCGCAUGCCGGUGCACUGCGCCUCCUAACCUGCGUCCACACGCCUUUCAGGACCCCAGGGCUGAGGUGCACAGCUGGUCUGCCUGCUUCUGACUUGAUCCCCUUCAGUGGGUUCAACACAGAACAGCUGCAUCUAGCUUUCUAAUGAUCCUGUUCUCAAGCUUGAGUCCCCUGAACUGCACCUGUGCCUUCUUAGGAUGGAUAUCCCCUCACUUACUGACCGAGGAAGGGUGAACAGUACCAACACCUGCCCACACCCUGAGCAAGACAACUCUUUCAUGCCUUCCUCCAUCUCUGGCCCAAUCCUUUCACCCUCUGUAUGGGGUCAUUUCCUCCAGAAACUGUUUUUCAAGACAGGGUCUCAAUUUGUAGCUCAGGCUAUCCUGGAACUCACUGGGCUUUGAGCUCAAGACCACCCUGCCUCUAACUACUGGAGCACCAAUGUACUUAAUAAACCACAUUUAUUGUGUGUUAGCCACUUAGGCUGAAUGCUCUGCAUCUUUCCAGGACAUCCCUUUCUAAUUGUCAAUCAUCUUGACAUCUGUGUAAAUUUCCUUGGGAUAGAAACAUUGUCUUGUUUACCAUUGAUUCUCUUGGCACACUGUAAAAACAAGCCUCCCUUUUUUAUUAUACAGAAGGAAUAUAAUUUGUCCUUAGAAACCAACCUUUAAAAUUUGUCCCAUACUCUGCAAGAUGACAUCUUGAUCCAAGGUGGAUGUUUGCUCUCCAACUAUUACGUCCACAGCCAAUGCAAGCAUCAGAAAGAAUGAAGACUGAAGAGCAUUUGACCUGUCUUGUUUACGGAGCCAUCCCAGAAAGUAUGUAUGAAGGACAAAUUAACUGAGAGAGGAACAAUCCGUCUACACCACAUAUUCAAAAGAAUGCCAACAACAGCUAGGCAUGGGGUGAUGCUUAAUAUUAAUUGUCGACUUGACAGGAUCUACAGUUACUUAAACAACACACUUCCAGGUGUGUAUGUGAAAAAGGUACUAAAUUGAGUUAACUGAGUUGGGAAGACUCAUCCUAAAUGUGGAUGGCACCAUUCUAUGAUCUGGAGGCAUAGGCUGUAUAAAAGGGAGAAAGCAAGCUGAACACCAUCAUUUGUCUACUUCUUCUUCUUCUUGACUAUGGAUGCAAUGUGGCUGAAUGUUUCACACACCUUCUGCCAUGCCUUCUCCACUGUGAUAGUCUAGAUGCUCAAACUGUGUGUCAAAGCAAACCCCUCCUUAAAUUGUUUUCAUUAGGUAUUUUUCCACAGCAGCUAGAAAAGUAACUAACACAGAUGGUUGCUUUUAUUAAGAUGCCUAUCACUAGUUGGUCCUGUAAAAAACAGUAAAAGAAAACAAAUGGAAAAGUAUGAUUACUUCAAAC